rnacentral:rRNA from 1 species
UGAUCAGCCAUGCCGCGUGCAGUGAGAAGCCCUAUGGUUUGUAAGCUGUUUUUAUACGGAAAAAACACCUCUACGUGUACAAACUUGCCGGGACUGUACCAAUAAAGAACGCCUAACUCCACGCCGGCACCCGCGGUAAUACGGAGGAUCCGAGCGUUAUCCGGAAUCAUUGGGUUUAAAGGGUCCGUAGGGGGACCUCUAAGUCAAAGGUGAAAUCCCCCACCUCAACUGGAAAACUGCCUUUGAUACUGGAUGGCUUGAAUUAUUAGGAAGUGAGUAGAAUAUGUAUUGUAGCGGAGAAAUGCAUAGAUAUUACAUGGAAUACCAAUUGCGAAGGGAAGUUACUACUAAUAUAUUGACCCUGAUGGAAGAAAGCGUGGCGAGGGAACAGGAUUAGAUACCCUGGUAUUCCACGCCGUACCCUAUGGUCACUAUCUGUUCGGAUCACUCUCAGAGUCUUUUCGCAAGUGAGAAGUAUGCCCCCUGGGGAGAACUGCUCGAAUUAAAGACUCUAAAAAUUUUGACGG